CGUGAGGGCGGUGAGGGAGGCGGGGAGCGGUGUGACGGGCGGGGACUUUUAAAAACGUUGCUAAAGCUUCAAAGAACUUGAUUUAGUGAGGUAAAUCCUUACCCUCUUCAAUCAGUAGCAUCUGCUUGCGACAAGUAAAACAUUGUCAUUCAUAUGCCCUCUUUUAAAAAAAUCCAUGACCUUAACAAACAUUGACGUUUUGCACAACAUAUUAGAAACACAAAAACCGAAAGUAGAUACAGCUAAUCUGGAAUUAUUUACUGCAUAAACUCCUCAACAUUUUCAUUUUCGAUAUUUAAAAUUUAAGAAAAAAAAGAGAGAAGGAAUCGUCGUUUAAUGUUUAAAUUAUACGGUGGAUGAAGAAUUCUUCCUCACAAAAGUUGUCAUUUUCUCGAAGCUGUCCGUGGCUGUAACAUUCUCCGUCACCAUUCUGGUACCCCCAGUCUCCAGAAGGAUGCGUGGCCCUGCCCGUACUGCCGUGGGCUGGCUUGGGCUGAUCUGCUGGAAGCGCAAUGCAUAAUGUCAAAAAGAUUUUCCUGGGUUGCUGUAAACAUGUUCUGCUCUGCUGUGCAAAAGCAUUUCAUCGCAAAAAUUUGCUCUUUCAAGGAUUCUGAAUGCAAAACAAGAAAGAAGAAAGAAAAUGAAUUCUUGGGACAGGCAUGGGAACUUGGUUUACACAAGAAAUUUGUUGCUUGUUUUCACGUCAGAAUUACUAAAUUGUGGCUACUGAUACUGGUUCUAUAUCUGGCAACUGAAUGGUGAAAUACUACUGUUGCUUUCUUAAACUCAGUGAAAGGACAUCUGACGAGUUCAGGUCUUGGUUCUGAUCUGGAUGCUGGUUGUUUCUCAGACUACAGGAGAAAAAGAAGUCUCCAGGCUGGAAGGUGCUGGAAGGCCGACGGUCACUUCCCCCCGUCCAUGGCAGUGGAGAGGUUUCCAAGUGGGGCAGCCAGCUCUGAGUUCUUCCCUGACCUCUGCCUGAUGGCCACAAAUGAAUCCCUGCACUCUGUGAUGGGCAAUGACCAACCUUCAGCACGCCUCAGUGACAGCUUUCCCCUUGUGCCUUGUAGCUACAAAGUCGUGUUUGCCUUGUUUUUCAAAAAGUUUAUUCAUGUUUGUGUUACCUUUUGUGAGUGUUAGUCUUUGAUACAGUAACUCAAAUGCAGAAUGUAUGCUUGAGUACUGUCCUUGGCUGAGAUGUAUUCUCUUCAAUCUAUUUACUGUGAUAGGAAAACUCAUUAGCCUUUUCCCAGUGUUCUCCCAUCCUUCUUCAGGAUACUGGAAACCCUGAAAAUCCAAGGAAAAUGCAGUGAUGUGGAGCAAUAAUGGUGGUUACAGACAGGUUAGAGGUAACAGACUGUACAGCACAGGAGAGUUUGUGAUUUAGUUACUUAAAAUAAUCAAACAUAUUUAUUGGGAAGAAAUCCAAGCAGACUGCAGUCAGAAUGAAGACCAUAAUUUCUAGGACAGCAAGGUGACCUCAAUUUCCUUGAGAGAGCAAAGGGAGGGGUAGAGGAGUGAUGGAAAGAAAACAGGCUGCAGUUCUGAAGUAUCUUGGAUUACCAAUACCAAAAGUAAAAUCACAAGUCUGAGGAAUCUUGGUAGGAAGGUGCUGGAUUUAGCUCUUUGGGCCACCAGCCUGACACAUUCAGGACAUUUCCACUGGAGAGAGCUGGGAAAAUGUCCCAGAUGUUUUGAUAUGUUUAACCUGCUUAAGAACAUGCAUUUAGAAUUAAUUUUCAUGGUAUUUCUUUCUGAUUAUCACACAGAGAAAAUAAUAAGAAAAAAAUGAACAGGGAACAGCUUUCCAUGGAUGAGACUUCCAUAUUUAUUGUUAUUCCAUGUGCAUAGAAAAUGGCAGUGAAGUUCCUUAUGAAAUAGGCAGGGAAUGGGAGAAAUGUAGAUAUACUGGACUAGACUUGUGCUUCAAAAUUACGCCAUUCAUUUUUUAAAAUUUGGGGUCUUUUCCUCUUAGAAUUCACAACACUUUCUUGGUUUUGGGUUUGUUUUUUUUGUGCAUGAUGUUUCAAAUUCCUUUUCCAAUGACACACUGCAUUACAAAUGGAUGGCACUUGAGACCAAUGUGGCAUUUCCAUAUUUACACCAACAAAGAAAUUUACAUGACGCAGUAGCAUACAAUCCUGACAUUCAGUAAUAGCAAUAAAACAAGGGCAGCCAUUGGAUUUUUUCUGUACAAACUAUCAGAACAAGACUUUUAUUCACAUUUAAAAAAUCAGCUUUAAUUUGCUCUGACCUACACGCUUUCCAAAUUCAUCAUACUCAAUUCGCAAACCUUUCAUCACAUCGCCCACACCCUCACCAGACUACAGGAGCUACAAGUAAUGAUACCUAACACCUAAGCAGAGCAAAACCAUCCCUGCCAGCUUUUUCUCCUGACAAUUCCUCACUCAAAAAACCCCCCAAAAAACCAAAAACAAACAAAAAAAACAACCAACCCCAAAAGCAAAACCAAGCCCCCCUGCAAAAAAAAAAAAAAACCAAAAAAACAACAACCCAUCCUUUUUCCUUCUUUUCUUUCACUUUCAUAUUUCUUAACCAAAACAACACGGGGCCAUUCCAGUCCUUCUCAAGCCAGACAAGAAGCACGCUGGGUUUUUCUCUCUGGUGCUACACCCAGGAGUCAGGAGAGCCUGGGUACUGUUCUGCUCGGUAAGAAGAUCGUCUGGUGGAAUAAAAGUCUACAUAAUUGGUGGUUGAUUUCAGUCCGUACUGUGUUGUGUAAUCUGAAGUAGCAGGAAAGUGAACUCGAUCGUCAAAGUAAGG